rnacentral:rRNA from 1 species
UACGAAGGGGCUAGCGUUGCUCGGAAUCACUGGGCGUAAAGGGUGCGUAGGCGGGUUUUAAGUCAGAGGUGAAAUCCUGGAGCUCAACUCCAGAACUGCCUUGAUACUGAAGUCUUGAGUAUGGGAGAGGUGAGUGGAACUGCGAGUGUAGAGGUGAAAAUUCGUAGAUAUUCGCAAGAACACCAGUGGCGAAGGCGGCUCACUGGCCCAUUACUGACGCUGAGGCACGGAAAGCGUGGGGAGCAACAGGG